rnacentral:tRNA from 1 species
GAUUCUGUGGCGCAACGGUAGUGUGUCUAACUCCAGAUCAGAAGUUUGCGUGUUCUAAUCAUGUCAGAAUCA